GUCGAAUCUUCAUCGUCGCUCUGGAAAAACAUAAUCAGGAAUUUCACUGGUAGCUAAGAUCUGUUAUUUUGGACAAUGAGUAGGCCUCAAGUGAGAUGGAAUGAAGACAACUUGUAUGAAAUUGAAGCCAAUAAACCAGUGAGGCAGAAAAUAACUGAACCUAAAACACCUUAUCAUCCUAUG